UACGUAGGGGGCAAGCGUUGUCCGGAUUUAUUGGGCGUAAAAGGCUUGUAGGUGGCCACGCCAAGUCGGAUGUGAAAUCUCCCGGCUCAACUGGGAGGGGUCAUUCGAUACUGGUGGGCUCGAGGCCGGUAGGGGGAAGCGGAAUUCCCGGUGUAGUGGUGGAAUGCGUAGAUAUCGGAAGGAACACCAGUGGCGAAAGCGGCUUCCUGGUCCAGCACCGACGUUCAGGCACGAAAGCGUGGGGAGCAAACAGG
rnacentral:rRNA from 1 species